GUAGUUGUCCAACUUUAUCUGCCACAAAAGCAUGCUCAGCCUCCAGUAUCUCGAGCUCAAAUUCAACUCCUCUUGAAGCCGUCAGCUACAUAUACGAAGCUUCAAGUAGAAGGAAGAAGAAAGCGUCGUGUAGGAGAAGAUGGCUCUGGGGUUUGAGUGUGUAAUUUUGUUAAAAUAUACAUCAACAUUUUAUAAUACAAUUCUAUUGUUAUACGGACAUAACUUAAUAAAUGUUUCUCUUUUUUCAUGUUACUGAAUGAGCGGAGCUAUAUGGGUCACAACAGUUGAGAUAUUGGGCUGCUUGGUCUGCUGUUGGGCUGGACUGAGGAGAUUGAAGACUGAAGGCUAUUGAAGAUCCAUGGGCUGGUUUGUUAUAACAACUCAGAUCCAUCCGGGUUUACCGGGUAUUGUUUAUGAACCCGGGUCAGUAUAAAUAAGUGUUCUGGGGUACAGUACAGAUCCGUUCAACUCGUUCAGUUGCAGAUAUUUUGUUCUCUCGUGCGCUCUCUCUUGUAUAGGCAAUCUAGGGUUU